AUGAGGCUGGCGGCGGUCAUCAGCACGCUAAUCUCCCCUGUGCAGUCUGCUUUUCAGAGGACCAAAUGCAUACAUGAUAGUCUCCUAUUCGUCCAGAAUAGCGUAUGCGCUCUGCAUCGCCGUAAGACUCCAGCCCCGCUACUGAAACUAGACAUAGCCAAAGCUUUUGACAGUGUCUCAUGGGAAUAUAUUUUUGAGCUCCUACGAAGAAUGGGCUUCCCGGCGCGAUGGAAGGAUUGGGUGGCCCUUCUCCUCUCGACCUCCUCAUCGGCCUGCCUCCUUAACAGAAUCCCAGGGGACAGCAUUGAGCACCGUUGUGGACUAAGGCAGGGCGACCCACUCUCUCUGCUGCUGUUCAUCCUCUGCAUCAACCCUCUACACCAUCUCCUUGAGGCAGCCACUAGGGACGGCCACCUUCACCCCAUUCUUGGGAGGGCUGCGCGCAUGCGCACUAGCUUAUAUGCCGACGACACCAUAAUCUUCAUCAACCCUGUGUGGCACGAGAUCGACGAACUCCUAAGCAUUCUGCACUUUUUCAAUGAGGGCACUGGCCUAAGGGUCAAGCCCACAAAAUCCUCGGCCAUCUCGAUCGCCUGCGAUGGAAUUGACCUUGCUACUGUACUUCAAAAUUUUGGAGGGGUCGUGGCGGCUCUGCCCACUAGAUACUUAGGCCUCCCGAUCACCACCGGCAAGCGUAGAUUAGUACAUCUUAGACAGGAUCCGGGCAUGGCUAGCAGGCUGGAAGGGAAGACUGAUGCAUAUCUCGGGCAGGCGUGUGCUAGUCCGAUGCGUGCUCUCGGCCAUGCCUACUUUCGCCAUCACUAUCUUGUGGGCACCGAAGAAAUUCUUCAAGGACAUCGACAAGGUCCGACAGCAGUUCCUCUGGGCGUAAGACAAGGAGAUCACUGGAGGGAAGUGUAA
rnacentral:rRNA from 1 species